rnacentral:lncRNA from 1 species
GCUGGGAAAAAAAAAAAAAAAAAAAAAGACUCUUGCUGACAGCUUAUUUUGCUCAGUCAAAGGAGAUGUUAAAGGAGAAGAAUUAUCGUGAGUUGCGCUGCUAAAAGACUGAUUCUGCCACAGCUGUUCACAUCAGAGUACUGUCCUGCUUUUAGCGUCCCUUCCACAAAUUAUCCCUUGAAACGACUUGACGUUAAGAGAAGGAAAUAUGUUUCAGAAAAUAUCCAUUGGGGCAUAAGAAACAAAAAAAUAAUCAAACUGCAUCUACUUUUUUGCCUGCUUACUGCAUGCACCAAAUUAAGAGAAAGCAUGAGUGAAAGAGCAGUUAAGAUCCAAGGAAAGAUGCAGCAUAAAUACAUCUUUCACUUUAGCUUUCCAUUCCCACCCCAGCUAAUGCUUUCCUCUAGUCACAGCCCACAGCAAGAUGUGGAGGACAUGGUAUUCCAGUAUGAUGCCAUGCAUGAAAUGAGAUGCGGGACAAGUUAUAAUGACAAGGUUGAUCUGGGACUGUGUGUGGAGGUACUGUUUACCUCACACAACUCAGAGCAACAGAGAGCUGGUUUACCAUGA